UAGGGAAUAUUGCACAAUGGGGGAAACCCUGAUGCAGCGACGCCGCGUGAGUGAUGAAGGCCUUCGGGUCGUAAAGCUCUGUCGUAUGGGACUAACAAAAUGAAGGUACCAUGCAAGAAAGGAUCGGCUAACUUCGUGCCAGCAGCCGCGGUAAGACGAGGGAUCCUAGCGUUGUUCGGAAUUAUUGGGCGUAAAGCGGGUGUAGGCGGACUUAUAAGUCAGGUGUGAAAUCCCAGGGCUCAACCCUGGAAGUGCACUUGAUACUGCAAGUCUUGAGUGUGGUAGAGGCUAUUAGAAUUCCUGGUGUAGUGGUGAAAUACGUAGAUAUCAGGAGGAAUACCGGAGGCGAAGGCGGAUAGCUGGGCCAACACUGACGCUGAGACCCGAAAGCGUGGGGAUCAAACAGGAUUAGAUACCCUUGUAGUCCCUGAGCGGGCUGGCAAGGCGCAU
rnacentral:rRNA from 1 species